CCUACGUGAGGCAGCAGUGAGGAAUAUUGGACAAUGGGCGCGAGCCUGAACCAGCCAAGUAGCGUGAAGGAUGACUGCCCUACGGGUUGUAAACUUCUUUUAUAAAGGAAUAAAGUGAGGCACGUGUGCCUUUUUGUAUGUACUUUAUGAAUAAGGAUCGGCUCACUCCGUGCCAGCAGCCGCGGUAAUACGGAGGAUCCGAGCGUUAUCCGGAUUUAUUGGGUUUAAAGGGAGCGUAGAUGGGUUGUUAAGUCAGUUGUGAAAGUUUGCGGCUCAACCGGAAAAUUGCAAUUGAUACUGGCAGUCUUGAGUACAGUUGAGGUAGGCGGAAUGCGUGGUGUAGCGGUGAAAUGCUUAGAUAUCACGAAGAACUCCGAUUGCGAAGGCAGCUUACUAAACUGCCACUGACAUUGAUGCUCGAAAGUGUGGGUAUCAAACAGGAUUAGAUACCCGAGUAGUC
rnacentral:rRNA from 1 species